CUAGAUCACAACAACUUUGGACAAGAAUAUGGCUCUCAAAAGCUUUAUGAAAUUGAAUAUAAAAUGACAAACAAAAGUAUGCAAGCUUAUAGCAAUGUAAUGAUCAGUUUGUGUAUGUUGUUGUGUUUAAAUUACUGAAAUGAAGCUGUAUUUAUAGUUGAAAAACUUGGCAUUACCGUUGCCUAAUUGAUAAUUAAGAGUUGCUGAUUUUACUCACUGACAAUCGAUUGUCAAAC
rnacentral:lncRNA from 1 species